rnacentral:rRNA from 1 species
AGUGGGGAAUAUUGCACAAUGGGCGCAAGCCUGAUGCAGCCAUGCCGCGUGUAUGAAGAAGGCCUUCGGGUUGUAAAGUACUUUCAGCGAGGAGGAAAGGGUGUGAGUUAAUACCUCACAUCUGUGACGUUACUCGCAGAAGAAGCACCGGCUAACUCCGUGCCAGCAGCCGCGGUAAUACGGAGGGUGCGAGCGUUAAUCGGAAUUACUGGGCGUAAAGCGCAUGCAGGCGGUUUGUUAAGCGAGAUGUGAAAGCCCCGGGCUCAACCUGGGAACUGCAUUUCGAACUGGCAAACUAGAGUCUUGUAGAGGGAGGUAGAAUUUCAGGUGUAGCGGUGAAAUGCGUAGAGAUCUGAAGGAAUACCAGUGGCGAAGGCGGCCUCCUGGACAAAGACUGACGCUCAGAUGCGAAAGCGUGGGGAGCAAA